UACCAUAUCAAGGGGUGCCUCUUUAUGAGGCUGAGAUUAUACCCUUAAUACCUGAUUCGGAUAAUGCCGACGUAGGAAUAGAUAGUCGUAACUGAU
rfam:Bacteroides coprosuis DSM 18011 chromosome, whole genome shotgun sequence.